UUACAGCGAACUAUUGAGGCGUUUUAACGUGUUGCCGCAAUACCUGAGCUCGAUUUUUGUCGCUUAGCCCCCAAACCGACGGUUUUUGUUUUUGUUGUGUGGUGAAUGAGUUCUCAAAUACUCUGUGUAAGACCACCACCACCACUAACACCAGCGCACUUGUUUUUGCGUCUAUAGCGGUUUUAAGAUCAGUUUGCCCUGCAGCAGGCCAACGAUAACAAGAGAACAAAAACGCCUAAACUCGAUGUUUUGUUUUGUUUUUUUGCGUUUGCGCGCGUGUGUGUGUGUGUAAAAGUGUGCCUACAAGUGAAACAAACAUUUACACAUGCCCAUUUCGCUUGAAGUUAAAGAAACAAGGGUUAUGAAUUUGAAUAAUUGUGGUACUUUCGCAUAAUUUUAUAUGUUCUGAAUGAAUGUUCAUCGCGUUAAAUUAACCAGAGCGACAGGUGUAUGCUGUGGGCGUUUCUAAAUUGGAAAAGAAAAAUCGUCAUCAUCAUCAUAGUCAUCAUCAUCGGGAGUGAAAAGAAAUACACACAUCGAGCCGAAACGUGCCUUUUGUUUGAGGAAAACAAUCAAAUUUUUGAAAACAUAACUAAAGACACUCCUUAUUGCCGGUUGGCAUGUUUGUCUUCCCUUGGGGCCAUAUAAAACAAAAGCAACCAUAGGAGAUUUGUCAUAAAUUUGUCCGGUAUUAAAAAAUAUUUAAAAAAAAAGUUGAGACUCGGUUUUUUUGGGCCAUCCAAAAAGUUACACAUUCUUAUCUCUCUAUAGAAGUAACUCUUCACAGAAUAUGUGCUCUCCAUGCAGACAAUACUCGUAAAUUGUCAUUUUUUUCUUCAUGCUACAAAUGCAUAAUCGGGAAUCGUUUAAUCUAAGCCGGUUUAAGGUGCAUUAAGACGUGUUUAUAAUUUCAAAUUUAUUUUGUCAUACAUCCCCCGCCGGUAGUUGCCUCCAUAAAAGGCUACAAAACGAAACAAGAAGAAAUCAACUUCGAGGAGGUUUCCAUUACGAUUGUUAAAAGCCUAGAAAGAAAUUAUUAAUUGCCUAUUUUUGGUAGAAAAAAGGUGGAAACGUGUUUGAAAUAUUUUGAUCGGUAUUUUUGUAUCGUGUGCGUGUGUUGCCAUUAACAAAAAAAAACCCCCCAUACAAAGAAAAGAAGUUUCAAAGCAAAACCUAAAAAAAAAAAAUUGUGUCAUAAGUUUUAAAUCUUAAAAAAAUUCAUAUUUAAUUUCAAUAGAAGUGCUUCUGAAGGUGUGUUUUGUGAUUUGUUAACAAAAUAUUUUUACAUAUAUAAGGCUUUUUUUGCUGUAUAGGAGACCCCAGCAUUUUGUCUUCUUUGAAAACGCAAUUAAUUGUGGAUUAUUUCCAUCCAGCUACCUUAUUGGUAUUCACAGAAUGUUUGCCUAUUAAAAAUCUUCAACAGCUUCAGCAACAAUGGCAACUUGAAUUUACACUAGCUGCGCAUACAAGACAAGUAAAACAGGCCUGCGAGUUGAAAUCAUUGUACAAACAAAACCGCGAAAUGUAACCAACACCAUUGCGGCCAGAAAACAAUAACACCAACAAUUGUUGAAAAUAGUCAAAAAAAUAUUUACAUUUUCGAAUUCUUACAACCUUGACAUAAAAAAAAUAUAUAUCAUAACCCUGCCACAAAUAUGUGUUAAUAUGUUGUGAAAAUAAUUUUAGCAGGGUAUUAAAAAGAUGUACAACUCAAAAUCAGGUUGUUAAAUUUCCAAAGAAUAGAGCCAAACUUGAAGUGAGAAGAUUCGCGAUUUCGCAAAGGAAAUCAUAUCGAGCGUUCGAUAAGCAAAAAAAAAAAAGACGCCAACGUGUCGCGUUUUAUUUUAGUUUCAUUCCUUUGCUAGUUUGUUUUUUCGAGUUUAGAACGCGCCGCCGUACUCGCCGACUGUCUGAUUUGUGUGAAUGUACGCGUAUAUGUUUGCGUUUUUUAUCUUUCUCAUGUACAUCGUCAUCGUGGUCGUAGCCCUGGUUACGUGCAUUAAAUUGUUAUUGUAAACACGCAUUACAUUAAGGCCAUAUUUGGGCUGGUGUUUUUUGCAGCGACAGCCGCCAAUAUAGGGAACCGCAAGCAGAUAGGCAGAUAGGCAAAAGGCAAAACUGUGUUAACGUUGCACACUUAACUCGCCUAUCCAAAUCAUCAUUCGUGGCAUCAAAAUCAUCAUCGUCAUCGUCAUCAAGCUUAGUGGUGGGCUACACCACACAUAAAUAAACCCAUCGUCAUUUUGCCAUCAUCACCAGCCACAUCUUAUCGCUGAGUGCAUCUUUACACGUAGCCUCCACACGCUCACUCACUCACUCACUCACAUCUGGGAGCUGUUGUAGAUCAAUCCUAAGCACAGGGAAAGGACCCAUAACAUUUACACGAGAUCCUUACGUCGCUUUGAUUACAUGGCAUUAUAAUUGAAAAUUAGCUUGGCAAAGUCAAAGUCCAAGCCAGAGCGCAGACCAUCCCAGACAAAUACAAUUGGUAAACAACAUUUUUCCUAGAGAAUUAUUCGAAUUGCCACCAUUCAGCCAUUCCAGCUACUAGAUAGCCAAGCUAAGCCAACGAA
rnacentral:sRNA from 1 species